CGCUCAGACACGCCAGCCAAGGCCUCCCUCACCGAGUGAAACUGAAAGCACCCGUAACACCAGAGGCAAAAGGUGGAAUUUCUGGGAGGCUGCUUUACUUACUUGCUUUGUAUAAACCCCAACAUGUGGCGCCUGUAAUGUGGGAACACGAUAUAAGGAAAUAACUCUAAAGGGAAGCAGAAGUGGGCCGUGCUGGUCCAGGACUGGGCAGUAAGCCGUAUUCACGGCUGCCCCGAACUACACUGUGGGGCUUCUGCAACCCUCAAUGCGCAGAGAGAGUGUGGACCGUUUGAUCGGCCCAAGGGGGGGAGGACGGGAGUAGAACGGAAGGAAAAGGGAACACCGGGUUUCGAACUUGUUAUUAAGUGAGUGGUUUAUAAGUGACAGAAAUAGGCUGAUUUUCACUCUUGGUAAAAACCAGUAAGGCUUAGAAAUGUGGGGAUUAUAUGGUCCCUAGUGUCACCUGUUGGCUAAUGAAGAACUAACAAGUUUUCAUCCAUCGAGAGAACUAUAUGCCUGGACAUAGAAGAAAUGGCUGAUUUCUGCAACGUCCCUCAGAACAACAGCCUCCCAAGGCUGAACUGGGGGCUGGCUGGGAGGUGGCCCAGCUGCUCUGGCAUCUGCUGAGGACAGCAGAAAAACAGCCAGUUUAGACGGAGCCUUCAGGCAUGACCUCACUGGCUCCCUCUCCUCUGGGAGCACCUUAGGACCAGGGGCCACAGGCAGAAUGUGGGGAAAAGUCCAAGGGUGCUUUUCAGAUCUGUAUUCAUGUCCUACUAUCUAUGAUCACGUGUAUUCUCCCAAGUGUGAGGAUCUCGGUCACCCACCUAUUUGGUGGUAGCAGUGACCCAGUUCUGGUUUUUCUUUCAUGUAUUUUUGGCACCUAGAGGAAGACACAGCUAGUAAAUAUAAAUUCAGAACUCUUCAAGAGUUUGUACCAACAUUUGCUUAAUGUUUCUGAGGAAGAGCCCAAAGAAAACAUAAAACCACAAUUAUCUCAUGAAUUCUGACUUAAAACCCACUUGUCUAUGGCUUGGAAAGCAGGCCUUGCACUCCUUUUGGAGGGCUUGCCCUCCUUUUUGCUUUCUCUUUUGUAAGAGCACAUUCAUUUUACACCUAACUUCCGGAGCUUGUGGUUGUCCUUUCAGAUGGUAACGAAGGUGCCAUGGAAUCCAUAAGGCAUUUUCACAAGCACCUCUGCUCGGCCCAGUUCUUCAAAGUUCUUGGCAUCCAAGACUAGAAGAAAAUUGCUUUCAUUCUAGAAGAGGAAAAACAAUACUGAAAUUUCUU